rnacentral:rRNA from 2 species
CACGAGGGUUUCACUGUUUUAAAAAAUCUCCAAUGAAAUUGAGAUUGGGGUGAAGACGCCCCAUCCAAAUUGUAAGACGAGAAGUCCCCAUGGAACUUUACUGGAGGCUUAUAGUACGGAUAUUAAAAUAGAGGCUGAAGGGUCUUUUUUGUUUUUAUAGAAGGGUUCAAGGUAAGAGGGACAGUUUCAUUGGGGCGAUGGCUUUUUAAAAAGUAACAAAAGUGAGCUAGAAAUAUAAGUUUGAUUGUGAGGGAGAGGGCCCGAGCAGACACUCUAGGUGGGCGGAAGUGACCCGUUAUUUUUGAAUGAAAAAGUUAACGAUAAACA